GACGGAGGGUGCUAGCGUUGUUCGGAAUUACUGGGCGUAAAGGGCGCGUAGGCGGCCUGGUCAGUCGGGGGUGAAAGCCCGGGGAUCAACCCCGAAACGGCACCCGAGACGGUCAGGCUGGGGACCGGGAGAGGAGGGUGGAAUAGCCAGUGUAGAGGUGAAAUUCGUAGAUAUUGGCUGGAACACCGGUGGCGAAAGCGGCUCACAGGCCCGGUUCUGACGCUGAGGUGCGAAAGCGUGGGUAGCAAACAGG
rnacentral:rRNA from 1 species